GGGUAGGGGAGCUUCCCAUACGGGUUGAAGCAUGACCGUAAGGACAUGUGGACAGUAUGGGAGUGAGAAUGUUGGCAUGAGUAGCGAGAUGUGGGUGAGAAUCCCACAGGCCGUAAACCCAAGGUUUCCAGGGGAAGGUUCGUCCGCCCUGGGUUAGUCGGGACCUAAGCUGAGGCCGAAAGGCGUAGGUGAUGGACAACAGGUUGAUAUUCCUGUACUACCGAUAACCGUUUGAGAGAAGGGAUGACACAGUAGGAUAAGCUAAGCACACUGUUGGUUAUGUGUGCCCAAGCAUUGAGGCAGUCAAAGUAGGCAAAUCCGCUUUGAUAAUGCUGGGAUGUGAUGGGGAGCGAAAUUUAGUAGCGAAGUAGCUGAUUUCACACUGUCAAGAAAAGUCUCUAUCGAGGUUAAAGGUACCCGUACCGCAAACCGACACAGGUGGGUGAGGAGAGUAUCCUAAGGCCAGCGAGAGAACUGUUGUUAAGGAACUCGGCAAAAUGACCCCGUAACUUAGGGAUAAGGGGUGCCACCAUCAGGUGGCCGCAGAGAAUAGGCCCAAGCGACUGUUUACCAAAAACAUAGGUUUCUGCUAAGUCGCAAGACGAUGUAUAGGAGCUGACGCCUGCCCGGUGCUGGAAGGUUAAGGGGAUCUGUUAGAG
rnacentral:rRNA from 1 species